rnacentral:rRNA from 1 species
UACGGAGGGUGCAAGCGUUAUCCGGAUUCACUGGGUUUAAAGGGUGCGUAGGCGGCGCGGUAAGUCGGGUGUGAAAUCUCGGAGCUUAACUCCGAAACUGCAUUCGAUACUGCCGUGCUUGAGGACUGGAGAGGAGACUGGAAUUUACGGUGUAGCAGUGAAAUGCGUAGAGAUCGUAAGGAAGACCAGUGGCGAAGGCGGGUCUCUGGACAGUUCCUGACACUGAGGCACGAAGGCCAGGGGGAGCAAACGGG